rnacentral:rRNA from 1 species
UACGUAGGGUCCGAGCGUUGUCCGGAAUUACUGGGCGUAAAGAGCUCGUAGGUGGUUUGUCGCGUUGUUCGUGAAAACUCACAGCUCAACUGUGGGCGUGCGGGCGAUACGGGCAGACUGGAGUACUGCAGGGGAGACUGGAAUUCCUGGUGUAGCGGUGGAAUGCGCAGAUAUCAGGAGGAACACCGGUGGCGAAGGCGGCCCCCUGGACCGGUACUGACGCUGAGGCGCGAAAGCGUGGGUAGCAAACGGG